ACUCUGGUCGUCUAAUGGCAAGACGUUGGGUUUUGGUCCCAACUAUAGGGGUUCGAAUCCUCUCCGGAGUGC
rnacentral:tRNA from 1 species